CUCGUCCUUAACAACUAGCCCCCCUCCAAACCCCAACAAACAACAUUAAUAACCCCAAAACUACUAUACUAAGUAAUCAAACCAUUUUUCCCCCUAAGUAUGGGAGACAGAAAAG
rnacentral:rRNA from 1 species